rnacentral:lncRNA from 1 species
CAGAGACUAGACCUUGUCAAUGUUCUCUGAUGCCCAGUAGGACCACUGCAGGAAAAAAAAAAAAAAGUUAAUGAGACUGUUGCUAGGAGACGGGAGAGCCAAAAGCUCAUAGUCUUGUAGGGGUUCCACUGGAAAUCAAGGCAACUUAAGUAUGCUUCGGAUUAAAGGUUUAGCUAUUAAAAUCUGCCCUUUGAUGAGCAUGCACAUUUUAGCAUAUAAUGUUUAGUAUGAUUUCAUAUUUUUGGAGAAUUCUUGAGAAUAAUCUCAAGGCAUUUCAUUUCUUUCCAUAGGGAUAAUCCCUUUUUCAGAGCACAUCUCAUUUCCAAGUGGCUGUUGCGCUGCUGUUUGCCCCCACUCCUUCAGUGCGACAGCCUCAGAGCUGGUGGAAAGACUGCAUGCCACUGGAUAAAUUCGUAGAUGUGGAAUUCCUGGAUCAAAUGGUCACCAAUUGCUUCAGCAUCACUUAUUGAAAAAUCCAACGCAACAACUGUUCUUCCAUUAGAUAGGGUGUAGCUUUACACAGGUCGGCCAUUUUCUUUACCCAAGAUGAUUACAUUUUGCAAUAGUACUCCUACCUUCCUGCAGCUUC